UCGAGUUGCGUGUAGGCGACGGGGGUAAUACGCAAGAGGCAAGGGUGACUGGUAAAUGCUGGGCGGAAAGCGUUCGUAGGUGGGUAGUGAAGUCGGUCGUGAACGCCCCGGGCGCAACCUGGGAAUGGCGAUGGGUAGUGGCGGGCUAGAGUGCGGUAGAGGAGAGUGGAAUUCCCGGUGUAGCAGUGAAAUGCGUAGAGAUCGGGAGGAACAUCAGGUGCGAAGGCGGCUCUCUGGACCAGCACUGACACUGAGGCACGAAAGCGUGGGGAGCAAACAGGAUUAGAUACCCUGGUAGUC
rnacentral:rRNA from 1 species